CCUACGGGGGGCAGCAGUGGGGAAUAUUGCACAAUGGGCGCAAGCCUGAUGCAGCCAUGCCGCGUGUGUGAAGAAGGCCUUCGGGUUGUAAAGCACUUUCAGCGGGGAGGAAGGCGGUGAGGUUAAUAACCUCAUCGAUUGACGUUACCCGCAGAAGAAGCACCGGCUAACUCCGUGCCAGCAGCCGCGGUAAUACGGAGGGUGCAAGCGUUAAUCGGAAUUACUGGGCGUAAAGCGCACGCAGGCGGUCUGUCAAGUCGGAUGUGAAAUCCCCGGGCUCAACCUGGGAACUGCAUUCGAAACUGGCAGGCUAGAGUCUUGUAGAGGGGGGUAGAAUUCCAGGUGUAGCGGUGAAAUGCGUAGAGAUCUGGAGGAAUACCGGUGGCGAAGGCGGCCCCCUGGGCAAAGACUGACGCUCAGGUGCGAAAGCGUGGGGAGCAAACAGGAUUAGAUACCCUAGUAGUC
rnacentral:rRNA from 1 species